UACGUAGGGCGCAAGCGUUGUCCGGAAUUAUUGGGCGUAAAGAGCUCGUAGGCGGCCUGUUACGUCUGCUGUGAAAUCCCGGGGCUUAACCCCGGGCGUGCAGUGGAUACGGGCAGGCUGGAGGCAGGCAGGGGAGGAACGGAAUUCCCGGUGUAGCGGUGAAAUGCGUAGAGUAUUGGGAGGAACACCAGUGGCGAAGGCGGCUCACUGGACCGGAACU
rnacentral:rRNA from 1 species